rnacentral:rRNA from 1 species
AGAGUUUGAUCAUGGCUCAGGACGAACGCUGGCGGCGUGCUUAACACAUGCAAGUCAAGGGGGCCCAGCAAUGGGCAACCGGCGAACGGGUGCGUAACACGUGAGCAAUCUACCGAAUUGUGGGGGAUAGCCGGCCCAACGGCCGGGUAAUACCGCAUACGAUCGAGACGAGGCAUUUCGACUCGAUGAAAUCUACGGAGCAAUUCGAGGAGCUCGCGGCCUAUCAGCUAGUUGGCGAGGUAACGGCUCACCAAGGCUACGACGGGUAGCUGGUCUGAGAGGAUGGCCAGCCACAUUGGGACUGAGAUACGGCCCAGACUCCUACGGGAGGCAGCAGUGGGGAAUCUUGCGCAAUGGCCUAACGGCUGACGCAGCGACGCCGCGUGAGGGAUGACGCUCUUCGGAGUGUAAACCUCUUUUGCCCGGGACGAACUGCCAGUUUUCACUGGCUUGACGGUACCGGGUGAAUAAGCACCGGCUAACUCCGUGCCAGCCGCCGCGGUAAUAC